GACAGAGGUGCCAAGCGUUAGGCGGAAUCACUGGGCUUAAAGCGUGUGUAGGCGGAAUUGUAAGUACCUUGUGAAAUCCCACGGCUCAACCGUGGAACUGCUCGGUAUACUGCUUUUCUUGAGCCACUUAGGGGCUACCGGAACAAAUGGUGGAGCGGUGAAAUGCGUAGAUAUCCGGAGGAACACCAGUGGCGAAGGCGACUUUCUGGCCUGUUCUUGACGCUGAGGCGCGAAAGCUAGGGGAGCAAACGGG
rnacentral:rRNA from 1 species